AACGCUAGCUACAGGCUUAACACAUGCAAGUCGAGGGGCAGCAUUGGAGUAGCAAUACUUCAGAUGGCGACCGGCGCACGGGUGAGUAACACGUAUCCAACCUGCCGCUUACUCGGGGAUAGCCUUUCGAAAGAAAGAUUAAUACCCGAUGGUAUAAAGAGUUCGCAUGUUCUCUUUAUUAAAGAAUUUCGGUAAGCGAUGGGGAUGCGUUCCAUUAGAUUGUUGGCGGGGUAACGGCCCACCAAGUCUACGAUGGAUAGGGGUUCUGAGAGGAAGGUCCCCCACAUUGGAACUGAGACACGGUCCAAACUCCUACGGGAGGCAGCAGUGAGGAAUAUUGGUCAAUGGACGAGAGUCUGAACCAGCCAAGUAGCGUGAAGGAUGACUGCCCUAUGGGUUGUAAACUUCUUUUAUAAGGGAAUAAAGUGAGGGGCGUGUCCCUUUUUGUAUGUACCUUAUGAAUAAGGAUCGGCUAACUCCGUGCCAGCAGCCGCGGUAAUACGGAGGAUCCAAGCGUUAUCCGGAUUUAUUGGGUUUAAAGGGAGCGUAGGUUGACAUAUAAGUCAGCUGUGAAAGUUUACGGCUCAACCGUGAAAUUGCAGUUGAUACUGUAUGUCUUGAGUGUACAAGAGGUGGGCGGAAUUCGUGGUGUAGCGGUGAAAUGCUUAGAUAUCACGAAGAACUCCAAUUGCGAAGGCAGCUCACUGGGGUACAACUGACACUGAGGCUCGAAAGUGUGGGUAUCAAACAGGAUUAGAUACCCUGGUAGUCCACACAGUAAACGAUGAAUACUCGCUGUUGGCGAUACACAGUCAGCGGCCAAGCGAAAGCAUUAAGUAUUCCACCUGGGGAGUACGCCGGCAACGGUGAAACUCAAAGGAAUUGACGGGGGCCCGCACAAGCGAAGGAACAUGUGGUUUAAUUCGAUGAUACGCGAGGAACCUUACCCGGGCUUAAAUUGCAGCGGAAUGUAGUGGAAACAUUACAGCCUUCGGGCCGCUGUGAAGGUGCUGCAUGGUUGUCGUCAGCUCGUGCCGUGAGGUGUCGGCUUAAGUGC
rnacentral:rRNA from 1 species